GACGAACGCUGGCGGCGUGCUUAACACAUGCAAGUCGAACGGAAAGGCCCUGCUCUUGUGGGGUGCUCGAGUGGCGAACGGGUGAGUAACACGUGAGUAACCUGCCCUUGACUUUGGGAUAACUUCAGGAAACUGGGGAUAAAACCGGAUAGGAGCUCCUGCUGCAUGGUGGGGGUUGGAAAGUGUCGGCGGUUGGGGAUGGACUCGAGGCUUAUCAGCUUGUUGGUGGGGUAGUUGCUUACCAAGGCUUUGACGGGUAGCCGGCCUGAGAGGGUGACCGGCCACAUUGGGACUGAGAUACGGACCAGACUCCUACGGGAGGCAGCAGUGGGGAAUAUUGCACAAUGGGCGGAAGCCUGAUGCAGCAACGCUGCGUGCGGGAUGACGGCCUUCGGGUUGUAAACCGCUUUCGCCUGUGACGAAGCGUGAGUGACGGUAAUGGGUAAAGAAGCACCGGCUAACUACGUG
rnacentral:rRNA from 1 species